rnacentral:tRNA from 1 species
CGGGACGUAGCUUCACACCAAAGCAUUCAGCCUACACCUGAAAGAUAUCUGUUCCUGCCAGAUCGUCCUGA